UACAGAGGGUGCAAGCGUUGUUCGGAAUUAUUGGGCGUAAAGCGCGUGUAGGCGGCUUUGCAAGUCGGGUGUGAAAGCCCUCAGCUCAACUGAGGAAGUGCGCCCGAAACUGCAGAGCUUGAGUGCCGGAGAGGGUGGCGGAAUUCCCCAAGUAGAGGUGAAGUUCGUAGAUAUGGGGAGGAACACCGGUGGCGAAGGCGGCCACCUGGACGGUAACUGACGCUGAGACGCGAAAGCGUGGGUAGCAAACAGG
rnacentral:rRNA from 1 species